rnacentral:rRNA from 1 species
GAGUUUGAUCGUGGCUCAGAGCGAACGCUGGCGGCAGGCCUAACACAUGCAAGUCGAGCGCCCCGCAAGGGGAGCGGCAGACGGGAGAGUAACACGUGGGAACGUACCCUUUGGUCCGGAACAACCCAGGGAAACUUGGGCUAAUACCGGUAUAAGCCCUUACGGGGAAAGAUUUAUCGCCGAAGGAUCGGCCCGCGUCUGAUUAGCUAGUUGGUGGGGUAACGGCCCACCAAGGCGACGAUCAGUAGCUGGUCUGAGAGGAUGAUCAGCCUCACUGGGACUGAGACGCGGCCCAGACUCCUACGGGAGGCAGCAGUGGGGAAUAUUGGACAAUGGGCGCAAGCCUGAUCCAGCCAUGCCGCGUGGGUGAUGAAGGCCCUAGGGUUGUAAAGCCCUUUCGGCGGGAAGAUAAUGACGGUACCCGCAGAAGAAGCCCCGGCUAACUUCGUGCCAGCAGCCGCCGUAAC